AAAAAAAGUCACUGCUUCUCUCAAGGCACUCUCCCCCUCCAGGACCUAGAAACUAAUAACUCCUUUUAUCCUUUUAGGCCUAAUACAGUUAUUAGCCUCCAGUUACUGACCUAUCCUUUGCCCAUACCUUUCAAAAUAGCCCUUCAUUAUUUUGAGAAUGUUAUUUCCUGUUGGGACCCUGUCUGAUACACCUGGUAAAGUUCUGAAGGGUCAACUGCUGGAUUAAGUAGCAGAGAGUGACGCAUACCUGUGUGGUUCUCAUGGAUGGGACAGUGACAUCAAGGAGUUAAAAACCUGAGAGACAAUAAUAUCUCAGGCCCCUGUGACUUAGCCCCCAAAGAACCCAAGAUGCUGAACAGCUUUUCAAGCUCUGUGACUGUGGAACCUUCUGUGAUUCAAGUCCCCAAAGCCUUACACAAACUGAUGGAAUCUGUCUGCUGGGGCCCUGGUUUCUCCAUAACCUCCCAGGAUGCCUCUGAGAAAUCAGCUUAGAAAUCCCUGAGGAUGAUGAUGCUAUCCUCCCGUUGGCACAUUCUGGUUUUCCUAAAGACAAAAACUGAGCUAAUGGUAUGAUUUUUUAAAAAAGAGUAUUAGCAGAUUCCUUGAGGUCAUAUUUAUCCUUCUAUUGUCAGGGAUAAUUUACUUUAAUUCAUCCUCUUAAUUUAUUAUUCACUACUCUCUAUCAGGGAGAGGUAUCUGUAUUAAUGAACUGCAUACUUGGUAGAAGUCUGCUUUAUUUUGGGCAAAUCAUUUUCCCACAAAGCACUUAAUUUAAAUAUAUAUAUUUAUACGGUACUUUACAAA